rnacentral:tRNA from 1 species
GCACUAGUGGUCUAAUGGUAGAAUAGUACCCUGCCACGGUACAGACCCCGGGUUCGAUUCCCAUCUUGGUGCA